UUGCUUCUCUGCUUCUUCUGGCUAGCUAAACACAGACACUUUGGUUAUGUGUACAUAAUUAAAUUUGUGGCUCCAUAACAUUAAAAAUUCAUAUAUAAACAUUAUAAAAACUGACCUGAGAAUUUUUUUUUUUUAAAUAAAAGGACUGUAAAUAGCUGAUAAUAAGAAUAGAGUAUUAACAACAUACUAAUUGGUGCACACAAUAUUUCAUUUGUUAUGUUGCAGUUUUUGGGAAGUUUUAACAGUACACAAGGAGUGUUCAUUUCAGAAUUAUGUAAUUACGAGAUUCUGACUUGUUAAAAGCAUUCAUGUCCUUGUAGAAAUCAUAAUUACAACUUGUAAAUUCUGAAUUCCAAGAACUAAGACUUCUACCUGUCCUUGUAAUUGUACUGAUCGCUGCAACGUCAUGCAGAAACUCUCAAAAUGGCAGCAGUUUCAGCAGUAAAAGGCAGUUAAACAAAAUACAGUUAGUUCUUCCUCCUCCUCCUUCUUCUUCUGCUCUUGAGUCUAUGCAUUGGCAGCCCAUAGAAAUGCUUGCGGGUAAAUUAUGAAAUUUGGCACACAGAUAGAGGACAGUCUCAACGUUAACCACAGCAAUUUUGGAGUCUCUAAUGCAAUCAAUCUAGCGCCACCAACUGUACAAAUUUGCACUUAUAUUUAUGCUAAUAACUUUUGAACCUUAAUGGCUAUGACAAAAUUAUUUUUAUUAUCUGAUUCCUUGGCUCAAGACGAUUUGAAUGCAUGGAAAAAAAUCAUGGCAUAUUGACAAUAAACUUUGUAUGUGUCAUUGUCACCACACACUGACAUGGCAUCAAUUUGGUACUUGCGCCACCAUUUAAUCAAAAGUGCUAAGCAAUUCAAUCACAUUACUAGUCAUCUUUUUUGUCUUCAUCUUCAUUUAUAUAGUGCUUUUUACAAUACAGAUUGUUUCAAAGCAGCUUCUCAGUGAUAAUAGGAAAAUUAAUGGACAGAGAUUGUUUUGGCUUUACAGCAGCUCUAGGAAAAGGUUAGUAUUGGGUAAGUUUUUGUAAGUUUUUGAUUGAAUCUCUUCCGUUGUAAAAAUCAUUAAUUAUUAACUUAGGGGCUGCUUAAAUGACACAUUUUUAACUGAAAACAGGAGACUUUUAAUGCGUUCUUGCCAUUAAUUUACGUGUUUAGUCUAUAGGUAGGCCUAUGCACGUUUGAAUGUGUAUGUACGCAGACGCUUAGUCUUUCUUUACAAAUUGACAUCACCAAAUUACUUGUCUGGCCUGCAUAAUACAGAAUUAUUUGUCGUUUCCACGGAUCCAUGCGAACUGGAAUCAUUUUGAUAACGUUUUAUCUAUACAUACAGAAAGGAAAGGGAAGGAGGCCCUCGCAAAGGAUAGUUUUAGUUGACACUUCAGGGCUGCGUUGUCAUCGUGUCUAAGCACGGGUCCUUCAUCUCAUCUGGAUACGGCAGACUAUGGUAAACCUUGGGAUAAACAGAGAGAGACUAAUAUUAGCAUAGACGCCAUUCUUCUUAUGAUGUAGCAGGUACAUCAGGUGGGAAGUGUUCCUGGUUCCGGCUAACCUAAUUUAUGCAGCCUAACAAUUUACAUGAUUUGAAUUAUAGAAGUAGAUAAUGUGUUAUGUGUAUUCCAAGUUAAAGAGAUGUGUUUUUAGUUUGAUUUAAACUGACAGAGUGUGUCUGCUUCCUGAACAAUGCUAGGAAGACUGUUCCAAAGUUUAGGUGCUAAAAAGGAAAAGGAUCGACCGCCAGCAGUCAAUUUUGAUAUUCUAGGUACUAUCAACUGGCCAGAAUUUUGAGAUCGCAAUAAACGUGAAGGACUAUAAUGUGUUAAGAGCUCGCUCAAGUACUGGGGAGCUAAACCAUUUAGUGCUUUGUAAGUAAUUAGCAAGAUUUUAAAAUUUAUAGUGUUUAAAAUUUAUAGUAUAGUGUUUAAUAGGGAGCCAAUGCAGUGUUGACAGAACCGGGCUAAUAUUGUCAUACUUCCUGGUUCUAGUAAGAACUCUAGCUGCUGCAUUUUAGACCAGGUGGAGUUUGUUUAUUAGGCAUGCAGGGCAACCACCCAGCAAAGUAUUACAACAAUAACCCUGAGGUCAUGAACGCAUGAACUAACUGUUCCGCAUUUGUCAUUGCGAGCAUAUGUCGUAAUUUAGAUAUAUUUUUAAGAUCGAAGAAUGCAGUUUUACAGAUGCUAGAAACGUGGCUUUUAAAUGAAAGAUUGGUAACAAAGAGCACACCCAGUUUCCUAACUGACGACGAAGGCUUGACAGAACAUCCAUCAAGUGUUAGACAGUAUUCUAGGUUAUUACGUGCGGAGAUUUUUGGUCCAAUAAUUAGAAUCUCUGUUUUUUUUUUUUCUGAAUUAAGUAGUAGAAAAUUGCUAGUCAUCCAAUUUUUUAUAUCAGCUACGCAUUCCGUUAAUUUUGUGAAUUGGCAAGAUUCAUCAGGGCACGAAGAAAUAUUGAGCUGAGUCAGCAUAACAGUGAAAACUAAUGCCAUGCUUCCUAAUAAAAUAUUAACUAGUGAUUUUAUUUAUGAUGCCUUUUUGACUAAAAUACUCUGAAAAUUUCUUUAAUUACUCAUUGCUGCAGCUGGUCUGAUGCUUCCAGUCAUGUUUGCAUAACUCAUCAUGCCUUUUUUGUGAUUUGCUGCUUGCAGCUAUAUUUGAAUAUUGUUAAUGUCUCAGUGCAAAAAUAACCUGAAAAUAAAUGAAAAACAUACAAUACAGUUUAAUGUAGUUAGCACAGAGUUGAAAAACUUUCUAAUGUCCAGCUAAAUAAACUAACGUUCUUAAUAAUGCAUUUGUAUAAUGACUGUUACAGUAUUUGUUGUAUUGUUGUUUUGUCUAUUGAUUACUCAUAUUACACAGAUUCAUUCAUUAUAGCGUUACCACAGAAACUCAUAAAUUUGAGUCUUAGGACAUGAAUAGCUUUGAACAUCCUGGAUUGUUUAUAACGAGCCACAGAGUAGCCUAACCUAUUUUUGGGAGGGUUUGGUUUGUAGACAGCGCCACCUCAGUGCCUGCGGCACUGGCACGGCCAAAAUAUGCUGCUUCAUUAAGCACCAGUACAUGAUUGAGUCUGACUGUAGCACUGAGCUCAAAAGAGCUGAUGAAUGAGGGAUGACAACAGCACCAUCAACACAGAUUCCUCCUGACAAAGGAAAUGUGUUCAAAAUCCCCACCCUGCCAGAGGCAAAUGACAAAGAUGCUUUGUAAGGACAUUGCUUUGAAGGAAUGCAGUUCACAAUUCAAGGAUAAAUUUCUUUUGAAAUGCAUCUAUUAUGGUGUGAAACCAUGGCUGAUGCUUUCAAAGCAUGUGCUGAUUUAACACUACCCUUGUGAGAAAGAAGUGCACGUAAUUGUACUGAAUGCACUUGUAGUAUUAAAAAAUAAAUAAGUAUUAAAAGUGUAUUUAAAAAAAAAAAAAAAAAAAAACUGUACUUGUGAUAAAAUGAAAUAAAA